ACGCUGGCGGCAUGCCUUACACAUGCAAGUCGAACGGUAACAGGUCUUCGGAUGCUGACGAGUGGCGAACGGGUGAGUAAUACAUCGGAACGUGCCCAGUAAUGGGGGAUAGCUCGGCGAAAGCCGGAUUAAUACCGCAUACGCCCUGAGGGGGAAAGUGGGGGAUCGCAAGACCUCACGUUAUUGGAGCGGCCGAUGGCUGAUUAGCUAGUUGGUAGGGUAAAGGCCUACCAAGGCGACGAUCAGUAGCUGGUCUGAGAGGACGAUCAGCCACACUGGGACUGAGACACGGCCCAGACUCCUACGGGAGGCAGCAGUGGGGAAUUUUGGACAAUGGGGGAAACCCUGAUCCAGCAAUGCCGCGUGUGCGAAGAAGGCCUUCGGGUUGUAAAGCACUUUUGUCAGGGAAGAAAUCCUUUGGGCUAAUACCCUAGGGGGAUGACGGUACCUGAAGAAUAAGCACCGGCUAACUACGUGCCAGCAGCCGCGGUAAUACGUAGGGUGCAAGCGUUAAUCGGAAUUACUGGACGUAAAGCGUGCGCAGGCGGUUGUGUAAGACAGGUGUGAAAUCCCCGGGCUUAACCUGGGAAUUGCUUUUGUGACUGCACGACUAGAGUGUGUCAGAGGGGGGUGGAAUUCCACGUGUAGCAGUGAAAUGCGUAGAUAUGUGGAGGAACACCAAUGGCGAAGGCAGCCCCCUGGGAUAACACUGACGCUCAUGCACGAAAGCGUGGGGAGCAAACAGGAUUAGAUACCCUGGUAGUCCACGCCCUAAACGAUGUCAACUAGUUGUUGGGGAUUUACUUCCUUGGUAACGUAGCUAACGCGUGAAGUUGACCGCCUGGGGAGUACGGCCGCAAGGUUAAAACUCAAAGGAAUUGACGGGGACCCGCACAAGCGGUGGAUGAUGUGGAUUAAUUCGAUGCAACGCGAAAAACCUUACCUACCCUUGACAUGGCAGGAACUUUCCAGAGAUGGAUUGGUGCUCGAAAGAGAACCUGCACACAGGUGCUGCAUGGCUGUCGUCAGCUCGUGUCGUGAGAUGUUGGGUUAAGUCCCGCAACGAGCGCAACCCUUGUCAUUAGUUGCUACGAAAGGGCACUCUAAUGAGACUGCCGGUGACAAACCGGAGGAAGGUGGGGAUGACGUCAAGUCCUCAUGGCCCUUAUGGGUAGGGCUUCACACGUCAUACAAUGGUCGGUACAGAGGGUUGCCAAGCCGCGAGGUGGAGCCAAUCCCAGAAAACCGAUCGUAGUCCGGAUCGCAGUCUGCAACUCGACUGCGUGAAGUCGGAAUCGCUAGUAAUCGCGGAUCAGAAUGCCGUGGUGAAUACGUUCCCGGGUCUUGUACACACCGCCCGUCACACCAUGGGAGUGGGUUCUACCAGAAGUGGCUAGUCUAACCGCAAGGAGGACGGUCACCACGGUAGGAUUCAU
rnacentral:rRNA from 1 species